GUGUGUACCAGUAUAUAGGAGGCUGAUUCCUAAGAAUCACUACUCAAAGCCAACCUGGACAGGAAAGUCCAUGAGACUCAUUUUCAAGUAACCACCUAAAAUGAAGCUGUAGCUCCAGUUUUUAAGAAUGCCUUAAGCA